CAAAAAUUUGGAGGUGAUUUUGAACUUAAAAUGGAAGGCGACCCCUUCCUUAAAUCUGAAAUGUUCAUGUUACCCAUUGAGAAGAACAUCGAACCUGAGUUCCAAAAUGUUGAAAUCAAGAAAGCAAAUCUUAAGACACACAUUCCCUUAGUUGCUGGUGAUUUGUUGAGAAUGCAGAAGUCUGAGAAAAUGAAAGCUAGGGAAAACAGGGAAUUCAUCGGUUUAUGUGGUGAACCUAGUGCUCAGUUCGCUG
rnacentral:misc_RNA from 1 species